rnacentral:rRNA from 1 species
UACGGAGGGUGCAAGCGUUGCUCGGAAUCAUUGGGCGUAAAGGGUGCGUAGGCGGCUUUUUAAGUCUGACGUGAAAGCCCAAGGCUCAGCCUUGGAAGUGCGCCAGAAACUGAAAGGCUAGAGUGCCGGAGGGGAGAGUGGAAUUCCUGGUGUAGCGGUGAAAUGCGUAGAUAUCAGGAGGAAUACCGGUGGCGAAAGCGACUCUCUGGACGGUAACUGACGCUGAGGCACGAAAGCGUGGGGAGCAAACAGG